rnacentral:rRNA from 3 species
AAAUUGAAGAGUUUGAUCAUGGCUCAGAUUGAACGCUGGCGGCAGGCCUAACACAUGCAAGUCGAACGGUAACAGGAAGAAGCUUGCUUCUUUGCUGACGAGUGGCGGACGGGUGAGUAAUGU